rnacentral:lncRNA from 1 species
AUGCCUGAUAUUCUUAAAUCUGACUUGGUGAAGUCAGUGAGAGGAUUAAGAUUAACUGGUCAAGUCUCAUCUCAUCUCUUAAUUCAACUAAUUAAAUUCUUUAAAAUUAUUAGGUCCCUAAAAUGGAAUAGUUAUGGUGAUAACUAGAUCAUAACCUCCCAUUAAGUUGGGUGAUAAUGAGUCCAAUGGUUUAGAUAAUCAUUGGAGGCAUCACACGCCUGGUGCUCAUCUAGCUGUCAGAAUUAUCAUUCAUAAUAUGUUAUUUUCGUUGUGUCUUUCUGAUGAUGGUCA